rnacentral:rRNA from 1 species
AGGACGAACGCUGGCGGCGUGCUUAACACAUGCAAGUCGAGCGGAAAGGCCCUUCGGGGUACUCGAGCGGCGAACGGGUGAGUAACACGUGAGUAAUCUGCCCCUAGCUCUGGGAUAGCUCCGGGAAACCGGGAUUAAUACCGGAUACGACCACUUUAGACAUCUGUUGUGGUUGAAAGAAUUUCGGCUAGGGAUGAACUCGCGGCCUAUCAGCUUGUUGGUGAGGUAACGGCCACCAAGGCGACGACGGGUA